rnacentral:rRNA from 1 species
GACGAACGCUGGCGGCGUGCUUAACACAUGCAAGUCGAACGAAGUGGCGAACGGGUGAGUAACGCGUAAUCAACCUGCCCUUCAGAGGGGGACAACAGUAGGAAACGACUGCUAAUACCGCAUACUGAAGGAGGGGAUUGAGUCUGAUUAGCUAGUUGGAGGGGUAACGGCCCAACAAGGCGAUGAUCAGUAGCCGGUCUGAGAGGAUGAACGGCCACAUUGGGACUGAGACACGGCCCAGACUCCUACGGGAGGCAGCAGUUGGGAAUCUUCCGCAAUUGACGAAAGUCUGACGGAGCAACGCCGCGUGAGUGAUGACGGCCUUCGGGUUGUAAAGCUCUGUUAAUCGGGACGCGGUACCGGAAUAGAAAGCCACGGCUAACUACGUGCCAGCAGCCGCGGUAAUAC